rnacentral:rRNA from 1 species
GAGAUGAGAAUGUGCCUUCGGGAACCGUGAGACAGGUGCUGCAUGGCUGUCGUCAGCUCGUGUUGUGAAAUGUUGGGUUAAGUCCCGCAACGAGCGCAACCCUUAUCCUUUGUUGCCAGCGGUCCGGCCGGGAACUCAAAGGAGACUGCCAGUGAUAAACUGGAGGAAGGUGGGGAUGACGUCAAGUCAUCAUGGCCCUUACGACCAGGGCUACACACGUGCUACAAUGGCGCAUACAAAGAGAAGCGACCUCGCGAGAGCAAGCGGACCUCAUAAAGUGCGUCGUAGUCCGGAUUGGAGUAUGCAACUCGACUCCAUGAAGUCGGAAUCGCUAGUAAUCGUGGAUCAGAAUGCCACGGUGAAUACGUUCCCGGGCCUUGUACACACCGCCCGUCACACCAUGGGAGUGGGUUGCAAAAGAAGUAGGUAGCUUAACCUUCGGGAGGGCGCUUACCACUUUGUGAUUCAUGACUGGGGUGAAGUCGUAACAAGGUAACCGUAGGGGAACCUGCGGUUGGAUCACCUCCUUACCUUAAAGAA